GCCAGGUGCGGUGGCACGUGCCUGUAGUCCCAGCUAUUCGGGAGACUGAGGCUGGAGGAUCUCUUGAGCCCAGAAGUUCUGGGCUGUAGUGCGCUAUGCUGAUCAGGUGUCCACACUAAGUUCGACAUCAACAUGGUGACCCCCUGGGAGCGAGGGACCACCAGGUUGCCUAAGGAGGGGAGAACCAGCCCAGGUCAGAAACGGAGCAGGUCAAAACUCCCGUGCGGAUCAGUAGUGGCAUCACACCUGUGAAUAGCCACUGCUCUCCAGCCUGGGCAACAUAGCGAGUCCCCGUCUCUA
ensembl:misc_RNA Metazoa_SRP Metazoan signal recognition particle RNA